GGGGGGCGGGGGGGGGGGGGGGGGGGGGGGCGAGGCGAGCGGUGAGGGGCGAGGUGGCGGGGGUACACGAGGGGCGGACGGGUGAGGACGACGGGGGUGGCGGGGCCUGCAGUGCGGGAGAGGCCGGGGGAACUGGGGCGAAUGCCGGCUAGGACCGCAGCGGGAGGGGGGGGGUGAACGUUGGUUCGGUGUGGGAUGGGCCCGCGCCCGAGCAGCUUGUUGGUGGGGUAAUGGCCUACCAAUGCGUCGACGGGUAGCCGGCCUGAGAGGGUGGACGGCCACAUUGGGACUGAGACACGGCCCAGACUCCUACGGGAGGCAGCAGUGGGGAAUAUUGCACAAUGGGCGGAAGCCUGAUGCAGCGACGCCGCGUGGGGGAUGACGGCCUUCGGGUUGUAAACUCCUUUCACCAUCGACGAAGGGUUUCUGACGGUAGAUGGAGAAGAAGCACCGGCUAACUACGUG
rnacentral:rRNA from 1 species